rnacentral:rRNA from 1 species
AUUGAACGCUGGCGGCAGGCCUAACACAUGCAAGUCGAGCGGAUGAAGGGAGCUUGCUCCUGGAUUCAGUGGCGGACGGGUGAGUAAUGCCUAGGAAUCUGCCUGGCAGUGGGGGAUAACGUCCGGAAACGGGCGCUAAUACCGCAUACGUCCUGAGGGUGAAAGUGGGGGAUCUUCGGACCUCACGCUAUCAGAUGAGCCUAGGUCGGAUUAGCUAGUUGGUGGGGUAAAGGCCUACCAAGGCGACGAUCCGUAGCUGGUCUGAGUGGAUGAUCAGUCACACGGGAACUGAGACACGGUCCAGACGCCUACGGGAGGCAGCAGUGGGGAAUAUUGGACAAUGGGCGAAAGCCUGAUCCAGCCAUGCCGCGUGUGUGAAGAAGGUCUUCGGAUUGUAAAGCACUUUAAGUGGGGAUGAAGGGCAGUAAGUUAAUACCUAGCUGGAUUGACGUUACCAACAGAAGAAGCACCGGCUAACUACGUG